GACGAACGCUGGCGGCGUGCCUAAUACAUGCAAGUCGAACGAACUCUGGUAUUGAUUGGUGCUUGCAUCAUGAUUUACAUUUGAGUGAGUGGCGAACUGGUGAGUAACACGUGGGAAACCUGCCCAGAAGCGGGGGAUAACACCUGGAAACAGAUGCUAAUACCGCAUAACAACUUGGACCGCAUGGUCCGAGUUUGAAAGAUGGCUUCGGCUAUCACUUUUGGAUGGUCCCGCGGCGUAUUAGCUAGAUGGUGGGGUAACGGCUCACCAUGGCAAUGAUACGUAGCCGACCUGAGAGGGUAAUCGGCCACAUUGGGACUGAGACACGGCCCAAACUCCUACGGGAGGCAGCAGUAGGGAAUCUUCCACAAUGGACGAAAGUCUGAUGGAGCAACGCCGCGUGAGUGAAGAAGGGUUUCGGCUCGUAAAACUCUGUUGUUAAAGAAGAACAUAUCUGAGAGUAACUGUUCAGGUAUUGACGGUAUUUAACCAGAAAGCCACGGCUAACUACGUGCCAGCAGCCGCGGUAAUACGUAGGUGGCAAGCGUUGUCCGGAUUUAUUGGGCGUAAAGCGAGCGCAGGCGGUUUUUUAAGUCUGAUGUGAAAGCCUUCGGCUCAACCGAAGAAGUGCAUCGGAAACUGGGAAACUUGAGUGCAGAAGAGGACAGUGGAACUCCAUGUGUAGCGGUGAAAUGCGUAGAUAUAUGGAAGAACACCAGUGGCGAAGGCGGCUGUCUGGUCUGUAACUGACGCUGAGGCUCGAAAGUAUGGGUAGCAAACAGGAUUAGAUACCCUGGUAGUCCAUACCGUAAACGAUGAAUGCUAAGUGUUGGAGGGUUUCCGCCCUUCAGUGCUGCAGCUAACGCAUUAAGCAUUCCGCCUGGGGAGUACGGCCGCAAGGCUGAAACUCAAAGGAAUUGACGGGGGCCCGCACAAGCGGUGGAGCAUGUGGUUUAAUUCGAAGCUACGCGAAGAACCUUACCAGGUCUUGACAUACUAUGCAAAUCUAAGAGAUUAGACGUUCCCUUCGGGGACAUGGAUACAGGUGGUGCAUGGUUGUCGUCAGCUCGUGUCGUGAGAUGUUGGGUUAAGUCCCGCAACGAGCGCAACCCUUAUUAUCAGUUGCCAGCAUUAAGUUGGGCACUCUGGUGAGACUGCCGGUGACAAACCGGAGGAAGGUGGGGAUGACGUCAAAUCAUCAUGCCCCUUAUGACCUGGGCUACACACGUGCUACAAUGGAUGGUACAACGAGUUGCGAACUCGCGAGAGUAAGCUAAUCUCUUAAAGCCAUUCUCAGUUCGGAUUGUAGGCUGCAACUCGCCUACAUGAAGUCGGAAUCGCUAGUAAUCGCGGAUCAGCAUGCCGCGGUGAAUACGUUCCCGGGCCUUGUACACACCGCCCGUCACACCAUGAGAGUUUGUAACACCCAAAGUCGGUGGGGUAACCUUUUAGGAACCAGCCGCCUAAGGUGGGACAGAUGAUUAAGGUG
rnacentral:rRNA from 1 species